rnacentral:tRNA from 1 species
GUAGUGCGUGGCCGAAUGGUUACGCUGUCCGCUUUGUAAGCGGAUGAUUCUGGGUUCGAUUCCCAUCUGCUCCA